AUUGAACGCUGGCGGCAUGCUUUACACAUGCAAGUCGAACGAGUGGCGAACGGGUGAGUAAUAGAUAGGAACGUACCGAGUAAUGGGGGAUAAACAAUCGAAAGAUUGGCAAAUACCGCAUAUUAGUCGAUCGGCCGAUAACUGAGUAGCUAGUUGGAGGGGUAAAGGCAUACCAAGGCGACGAUCAGUAGCGGGUCUGCGAGGAAGAGCCGCCACACUGGGACUGAGCCACGGCCCAGACUCCUACGGGAGGCAGCAGUGGGGAAUUUUGGACAAUGGGGGCAACCCUGAUCCAGCCAUGCCGCGUGUAUGAAGAAGUCCUUCGGGUUGUAAAGUACUUUUGUUAGGGAAGCGGUACCUAAAGAAUAAGCACCGGCUAACUACGUGCCAGCAGCCGCGGUAAUAC
rnacentral:rRNA from 1 species